GAGGGCGGGCCCCUCGGAGCCGCUGUGCAGGCGGAGGCUUCAA
rnacentral:autocatalytically_spliced_intron from 1 species